AAUUUAAUUGCUGGAUCAUAUGGUAAGACUAUAUUUAGUUUUCUAAGAAAUUGCCAAACUAUCUUCCAAAGUGGCUCUACCAUUUUGCAGUCCCAUCAGCAAU
rnacentral:pre_miRNA from 1 species